rnacentral:lncRNA from 1 species
UAAGGAAGCCCAAGAGUAAGCUAUGUGAGGUUGAUGGCGAUGCGUAAAAGCGAUCGACUUACAAGGGUGUUUCAAAAAUGGACUCGAUAUUUAAAUCGAGAGUUGCAUGAUUGUGCUUUUUGAAAUUGGUUUGGAUGGAUAGUGAAUUGAAAUAAAAUUGAAAGUGAUUAUGAAAUGAUGAUGGAAAAGAAAAUCCUUUAAUUAUUAACUCAUCAAAAUUUGGUUAAGUUGAUUAAUUGAAUUAAUUAAGAUUAAUUAUCAAAAUUAUUUAAUUAUCUCAAAUAAUUAAGUUAAUUAAGAUUAAUUAAUUAAAAAGAAUUAAUCAAACAAAAAAUUCAAUUAAUUAUUAUUUUUUAAAGAAAACAAAAUAGUGACAAUGUUGAUUCACAAAAAUUGAAUCGGAAUCGGUUACAAAAUGUGCUCAAGAACCGGUUAGAGCGAAAUGACAAUAAAAUUGAUGUCAUUCGCAAAUUCAAAACUCGGUGAAAGUGUUCCAUUGAUAUAUUGAGAAUUUGGUGGCAUAUGGCAUAUAUUUGUCGAAUCCAUGGAUAGAAGAAAGGUUCGAUUAAAAAUGCGAUGAGGUUAAAUAGCCAUAAUAUAAUUUAUUACUAUCAUUACAACAACAUUGUGAUCGGCUUAAAAUAAAAGAAAACCAACAUGAGCAAUUCCUAGAUGGGCUUAUAUCAAUUUUAUAUGAAAGUAGGCCUAAAAUAAGAAAUCUUUUAAGUUAAAUAAUUAAGAUAACUAUCAAAAUGCUAAGCUAAUGUCAAUGCCAAGAAAACCGAAGUACCAAUGCCAGUAAUCACAUUUACUUCACACCAUUAGCAUAGAUGGGCUUAAAUCAAUUUUAUGUGAAAGUAAGCCUAAAAUAAGAAAUCUUUUAAGUUAAAUAAUUAAGAUAACUAUCAAAAUGCUAAGCUAAUGACAAUGCCAAGAAAACCGAAGUAACAAUGCCAGUAAUCAUAUUUACUUCACACCGGUAGCAUAAUCUAUCUUGUAGCAUGGGCAUUGUUCAUCAUCACAAACAAAUGUGAAGCUUAAUGAUAAUAACUCAAUAUUAUAACAUAGCCCAAACAUAUCUGAUACAUACGGUGCGACCAUCAGACCAAAGCAGCGACCCAAUAAUGAAGCAAUACAAAAUAAAUAGUUAAAGGCUACCACAAACUAAAUAAAUCAAUACUAAAUACAAGUCUAACAUGGUAAAUCACACAAUACACAGAGAACUUCAAUCGGAAAGGAACAACAAGAAAAACAUUACCAAACUGAAGUCGUGAAAUGGUACAAAGCGAAUUGUUCGGUGUUGUUGGGGCGGUUCGGUUCCUCCACGGUUUGCGAUUGUUGACGGCGGUGCAAAGCGAGCAGAUUUGAGGGCGUCCGUCGACGGUGUGAAGGACUCGGUUGUUAUGUGGAGAUGAACCGGCGGUGGUUGUAGAUCUGGUCGAAGGUUGUUGGGAUGAUGUGGGUGAAGAGGGAUUCACGUGGUGGCGCGGUGGUUCAGCGACGUUACAGAAGCCGUGUGUGGUUUGAAAGAAGACGACGGUUGUGAAAGGAGAGUGAGAGAUUGUGGUGGUUGAGAUGACGGAAGGUGAAGGUGAGUUGGGUGAACGAAAUAGUGAAGGAGGAGAAAGGUGGAUUGUUUUUUUGAGUGAAUACUGUGUGAGGAAACGUGGUAGGUGGUUUUAGGAUUCUGUUAGAGAGAGUGAAUUGGAGAUUUUGGGAUAAGGUUAUGAGUGGUAGCCAAUGAGAGGGUGAUUGUCCUCCGUCUGAGGUGAUGAGUGCAGAGUAUUUAUUUAUUUUUCUUUUUCCUGGAGAGGUGAGUGAGUAUAGAGUGUAUGGAGAGAAUUUUGUGAGUGGUGAGUGAAUUGGUGGUUUUGAAAGAGAGGAUAAGGGUGAGUGAAAUAGUGGACAGAGAGAGAGCUGUUGGUAGCUGAGUGAUUGAGAGAGACGUGUUGGUAGCUGACUAGGGAGGCGUGAGGACAGUGGUAGGUGGCUGCGUGAGGAGACGUGUGAGUGGAUACCAACUGGCAGGAUCCAA